rnacentral:rRNA from 1 species
UACGAAGGAGGCAAGCGUUAUCCGGAAUUAUUGGGCGUAAAGCGUCCGCAGGUGGCACCUCAAGUCUGCUGUCAAAGACCGGGGCUUAACCCCAGAAAGGCAGUGGAAACUGAAGUGCUAGAGUGCAGUAGGGGUAGAGGGAAUUCCCGGUGUAGCGGUGAAAUGCGUAGAGAUCGGGAAGAACAUCGGUGGCGAAAGCGCUCUGCUGGACUGCAACUGACACUCAGGGACGAAAGCUAGGGGAGCGAAUGGG